rnacentral:rRNA from 1 species
UGAGGAAUAUUGGUCAAUGGGCGCGAGCCUGAACCAGCCAAGUAGCGUGAAGGAUGACUGCCCUAUGGGUUGUAAACUUCUUUUAUACGGGAAUAACAUCACCUACGUGUAGGUGCCUGUAUGUACCGUACGAAUAAGGAUCGGCUAACUCCGUGCCAGCAGCCGCGGUAAUACGGAGGAUCCGAGCGUUAUCCGGAUUUAUUGGGUUUAAAGGGUGCGUAGGCGGACUGUUAAGUCAGCUGUGAAAGUUUGCGGCUCAACCGUAAAAUUGCAGUUGAAACUGCCAGUCUUGAGUGUACAUGAGGUAGGCGGAAUUCGUGGUGUAGCGGUGAAAUGCUUAGAUAUCACGAAGAACUCCGAUUGCGUAGGCAGCUUACUAGGGUACAACUGACGCUGAGGCACGAAAGUGUGGGUAUCAAACA